rnacentral:misc_RNA from 1 species
GUUUCCGUAGGUGAACCUGCGGAAGGAUCAUUACAGUGUUCUCUGCCCUCACGGGUAGAAACGCCCACCCUUGUAUAUUAUAUCUUUGUUGCUUUGGCAGGCCGCCCUCGGGCACCGGCUCCGGCUGGAUCGCGCCUGCCAGAGGAAACCCAAACUCUGAAUGUUAGUGUCGUCUGAGUACUAUCUAAUAGCUAAAACUUUCAACAACGGAUCUCUUGGUUCUG